ACAGAAUCUGAGUAAAAAUCAGGAGUACAGGAUAAACUUGUAUUCAUCACAGUACUUAAAUGCUUAAGAAAGCCAGGGGCAUAGGUUGUAGAUGUGUUGGUCUAAGGACAUAGGCAGACAAGGUUCUCUGGAUAAAUCUGUUAUCUUUUAUUAGACCAACUCAAAUAGU